rnacentral:rRNA from 1 species
GACGAACGCUGGCGGCGUGCCUAACACAUGCAAGUCGAACGGAGUUCUUAAGGAAUGCGACUUCGGUCAAAUGACUUUUGAACUUAGUGGCGGACUGGUGAGUAACGCGUGAGGAACCUGCCUUUCAGAGGGGGACAACAGUUGGAAACGACUGCUAAUACCGCAUGACACAUCGAUGGGGCAUCCCAUUGAUGUCAAAGAUUUAUCGCUGAAAGAUGGCCUCGCGUCUGAUUAGCUAGUUGGUGAGGUAACGGCCCACCAAGGCGACGAUCAGUAGCCGGACUGAGAGGUUGACCGGCCACAUUGGGACUGAGAUACGGCCCAGACUCCUACGGGAGGCAGCAGUGAGGAAUAUUGGUCAAUGGACGGAAGUCUGAACCAGCCAAGUAGCGUGCAGGAUGACGGCCCUAUGGGUUGUAAACUGCUUUAUGUGGGAAUAAAGUCAGGGACGUGUCCCUGUUUGCAUGUACCACAGGAAU